UACGUAGGGUGCAAGCGUUAUCCGGAUUUACUGGGUGUAAAGGGCGAGUAGACGGCGUUGCAAGUCAGAUGUGAAAACCUAGAGCUUAACUUUAGGACUGCAUCUGAAACUGUAAUGCUAGAGUGCAGGAGAGGUAAGCGGAAUUCCUAGUGUAGCGGUGAAAUGCGUAGAUAUUAGGAAGAACAUCAGUGGCGAAGGCGGCUUACUGGACUGUAACUGACGUUGAGGCGCGAAAGCGUGGGGAGCAAACAGG
rnacentral:rRNA from 1 species